CCAACCUGUACUGGACCCAGUCAGAACCGGGUCAGAACCCUCUGCAGACGGAGCGCCUGGCGUUCAGCACAUGAAUCUCUGUAAGACAUUUUCUAGAACACGAUCUGCUGAGUCAGCGUCUUAGCGGCUCUGGCCUGAUGCAGGAUGUUCUCCCUCACACUGUGACUCAGCACUCUUCCUCAUCAUCACCCUCCUCUUCCUCAUCAUCACCCUCCUCUUCCUCAUCAUCACCCUCCUCUUCCUCAUCAUCACCCUCCUCUUCCUCCUGAUCUCCAUAGCAGCAGAGUUUCAGCUGCAGAACUCUCAGCAGCUUUUAUUAGAUCUAGAAGUACCAGAGACAUCUUCAUCUUCAUCAACAUCUUCAUUUUCAUCUUCAUCUUCAUCGUUGUCUUCGUCUUCAUUGUGAUGUGUUUUUCCAUCUGGGGAAGAAGCAGCAUUUAUGGCUCCAUACUGGGAACGUGGCAGUGGAUCAGAGUGGGAAGUGGAUCUGGAUCAACUUGUUCCCUCAGGAAAAACACAAACAUCUGAUAAAGUUUUUAUUUCUCAGGGAUUCAAACCGGCCACCAUGUUGCAUCUGAUGUGAUCCAGAAAAAGCUGAACAAUAUUCAGCUAAUGUCAAAUAUUCAUUAUGAACAGUUCAGUCUGAACAAUCGGCUACAGAGAGGACAGAUGGACAGAAGGACCGUCCACCAUGGAGCGUCCUCCACCAGCUGGAUCCUGAUUGGCUCCUGUUUCAGUCUCACUUCCUCUGCAGAAAACCAGCUGGAUUACAACGAGAUUGAGAACCAGUAGAAGAGUGAUUGGACUGCAGGAGGAAGGUGGAGAACCCAGAGAGAACCCACUGGGAGACUCCAUGCAGGAAGGCUGGGAUUCAAACCCAAAACCUUCUCAGUGGUUCAGCCACCAGUUCAGAGCUGAAGGAAGAAAACUUGGAGGAAAAUUCAUCCAGAAACUGAACAACAUCAUCAUGUUAAAGAGUUCGGAUCCGAUCCAGUGAACGAAAGGACGAGCUGCUGAAGAUCGAAAGAACCAGAGAGUCACUGGUCCGUCCGUCCGUCCGUCCGUCCGUCCGUCCGUCCGUCCGUCCGUUCGUCCAUGGUGGAUGGACCAGUUAACGAUGAAAAUCAAUAAAAUAACUUAU